UAAAACACAACAUUAAUGCAUCAUAUCCCAUUAUAACUCCACAGUUAAGCGUGCUUGGGAUAGAAUAGUACUGGGAUGGGUGACCGCCCAGGAAGUCCUAGUGUUUUAC
rnacentral:rRNA from 1 species